rnacentral:rRNA from 1 species
GGUUAACGCUGGCGGCGUGCCUAACACAUGCAAGUCGAACGGUUCUAAGCGCGAGCUUAGGAUAGUGGCGAACGGGUGAGUAAAAGGUAGGAAUCUACCCCUUGGACGGAGAUAGCUACUGGAAACGGUAGGUAAACUUCGAUAAGCCCGAGAGGGGAAAGUGGUGAGACAGCCGAGGGAUGAGCCUACUCUCCAUCAGGUAGUUGGUGAGAUAAAAGCUUACCAAGCCGAUGACGGAUAACCGGUGUGAGAGCAUGAACGGUCACAAGGGCACUGAGAGACGGGCCCUACUCCUACGGGAGGCAGCAGUGGGGAAUCUUGGACAAUGGGCGAAAGCCUGAUCCAGCGACGCCGCGUGGAGGACGAAGCCCUUCGGGGUGUAAACUCCUUUUCUCAGGGAAAAAGGAUGAUGGUACCUGAGGAAUAAGCCCCGGCUAACUACGUG